rnacentral:lncRNA from 1 species
AGCAAACAAGAAGUAUGGUUUCUCGCUUCUGACUAUAGAGUAAUUGUUUAUAUGUCUAAACCUAUCAGUGAUAGAUGGAACAUCCGGGAGUGCCAUGAAUUAUCAUGCAGCACAUUAUUAGGUUCCAUAGGUUAUUCCAAUAAUGAAUUGUUUGUUAAAUCCCAACAGAUUAUUUCUCUGACCUAGCAGUUUGUUGCCUCCCAUUACCAACCUAUGCUACCUUAACUUGGCUAGUGAUAUCUGAUUCUUGAAUUGAGAAGAAAGGGUGCAGAGGGGAUCAUGCAUUUGCUUGAGCUAUAUCAAUAUACCUCUAUGGGGAAACAUAAUUUCUGGACUUGCUAAAUUCCUUCAACCAAUGUAAGAUGAUUAACUUGCUAGGGAUUAGUUGCAGUCUGAAAAUCACUUCAAUUCUAUGUACACCUAACAUGAUGUUACUUGACAAUGCUUGUGAAGCACUAAACCCCGAGUAUCAUUUUCUUUUUUCUAGUUAGGACUAGAAACUUGAAAAUCUGCAUUUUGUCUGAUUUCCUUCAUGCUGAGUUGGAUAAUUGCUCAAUCUUGAAAAAAUUUUUAAAAAUGUGUUUGGUCUGUUUAUUCUUUAUGGUAUAAUGCAAUUGACUGGCUAACCAUGUAAUUGCAGAAAGUGCUUCAUUGCUUGAUGGGCUGAGACUACCCAUAAGAUGAUUGCCACAGGGAAUGAAUGAAACUCACUAGGACAUUCAGGAUCAUAUCAUGUGUUUUUCGUGCUGCUUGCUAAUGAACUUGACCAUUUUCUAUAGAAUAGUAGUUAGAAAAAGACCAAAACUUCUUUACCUUAAAACUCAGGGACUGAUAAUGUGUUAGCAAUUUGAGCCUAGGAGGAGAGCUUGUCGUCUAUGAGAAAGGGAGCUGAAUGUAGCAUCUUUCUGAUGUACAUGUUGAAAGGGAUCAUUGGGAUGAUCUUAGUUUGCUCACUUAGUGUAGUCUUGUUCUCCGCCUGUGAUAUUAUUCGCAUCGUAAAGUUAAAAUUGACCUUUAGGGGAUGCUGGCCAUCUGCCAGGAACUUUUACUUGACUAACAGGUUAUAGUAUAUUCCCAUAAAAUACAGUGGCAGAGCAAUUGAAGUUUUCUAAUAUACAAAUGCAUUGGAAAUUCAGAAUUCUAGCUAUGUUCUUACUCUAUAAAGGGAAAUGAGUGAUUGGAAAAAUGGUCUGAAUCAUUUCAAUUAGAGAUAACUUUAGUUUUGGAUUGUAUUAACAAAUAUUUUACAUAAAAAAAUAGUUGCUUUUGUAUUGACUUCAUGUAGUUUUUGGCUAUUUCCUUGCCUGAAUGAUCCCUGGUUUUUGUUCCUUACAGAAUCCG